rnacentral:rRNA from 1 species
AUGCGUCGUUUGGAGAAGCUUGUGCUCGGUAAAUGCAGACUUAGGCAUUUUCCUCCAGGCCUUGCCUCCCAUGCAAGCUCUUUGAAAAUAUUAUAUCUACAAGAUGUCAAGCACCUUAGCUACAUUGAGGGCAUUCCUUCUGUUGUUGAGCUUACAGUGCAUGGAUGCCCUGACCUGGACAUGAUCACCAAUCUCCCCAAUCUUCAGAAGCUUAUCAUCAUGAACUGCGCAAAGUUGAAGGUGCUGGAGUGUAUCGCUUCACUCGAGAGGCUGGUCCUGGAGGAUUACUCCAUGGAAAAACUCCCGGAAUACAUGCGAGAUUUAAAGCCAAGGAAUUUGCAGUUAUUCUGCAGGCUAUGGCUGCUCUCUGCGGUAGCCGCAGGACAAUCUGCAGAAAAUAUGGCACUGAGUGGGACAAGUUCAGCCAAGUGGAGCAUGUCAAGGCAUAUGCACGUGACGGAGACAACCAAAGAAAAUGGUACGUUUUGUACACCAGAGGAGACAACUGCAAGUUGGAUUCAAAUAUCAGCAGCUCUAGCAUAUUUGAAGAAACCUUAUCAUCUUCUAUGGUGGAUGCACAAGGAUUUGAGUCUAUGUAUAAAAUGA